UACGUAGGUGGCGAGCGUUAUCCGGACUUAUUGGGCGUAAAGGGAACGCAGGCGGUCUUUUAAGUCUGAUGUGAAAGCCUUCGGCUUAACCGGAGUAGUGCAUUGGAAACUGGGAGACUUGAGUGCAGAAGAGGAGAGUGGAACUCCAUGUGUAGCGGUGAAAUGCGUAGAUAUAUGGAAGAACACCAGUGGCGAAAGCGGCUCUCUGGUCUGUAACUGACGCUGAGGUUCGAAAGCGUGGGUAGCAAACAGG
rnacentral:rRNA from 1 species